ensembl:lncRNA
GCCGCCGGGCAGCAGCAGCAGCAGGAAUGACAAUCCGAAAGAAGUUGACUGCAGCGAGGUUCAAAACUUGUUUAAGCAAAAAGCUUUUCCCAAAUUAAUACAUAUCUCAGUUAUCUUUCAAACCACAGCAAAAAGUCUGUAAGAACUCCUUGACAAUGCUGAGACACAUUGCAGAAGGCUACUCAACAUGUUUUCAAUGUGUUUUUUCCUGUAAGCCAGGGUUUUGUUCAGAUAGAGAGAUGGACAUGUGCUUCAACAAGUGAGCAAAGCAGAGCUGAAAUAACAGAACCCAUAAGAAGGGCACAGCACUACAGUAUUGGAUCUGGUACGUCUCUUCUGACAGUGCUACUACUUCCUCCUCCACCUCCAUCAGCAGAUGCUGAUAACAGCACAAGUGCAAUCGCUUUCCACGUGGACAACAGUCAGUAAAAUGGGUCUCCUUAGGAGCAGUGAACUCAACAUUUUAACCUGGAUUUUUUAAAUCACCGUUAAACAGAAAAAUACGAAGACCACAGAAGAAAAGCAGCACUUGGUUAUGUAAUGGUUGUGGCGUGACAAAACUUGACAAGUGGGAUGCUGACUUUGAAUGGCUCAUUUGCUAUCAGUGACGGCCCCAGUGUGAUGCUGAAGUUCCCCAGAUUGACAGUACUUGUGGAGGAAGCAACCUGACUACCCCACUACCAGGUUUGCAUGGCCUCUGCUCAAAGCUGAUAAAGACAAAACGUUAAAAAUGAAAUCUACAAAAAGCCUAAUGUCCCUGUACGUUAGGAGCU